CUGCUUUGGAGACGCAGCAGAAUUGUUGUUUAUGGUCGUCUCAUGUGAGAUCUGAAAGCCUCUGAGAGGAAUGUGUUUGGCUUGGACGGUGGGGAGGCGGGCCUACAAGCUGUGUCAACAUUCUGUGUCUGCUUGCAACUCUCUAUCUGCCUGCAAAUCACCUUCAUCUCAGUGUGUCAUUCGAUACGUUCUGCAUCACAAACCACAACAUCAGGGCUGUCUUCCCGGCUGUGCGGGGGCCCAGAUGGUACUCGUGCACGUUGGCCAGCUUUGUCUCGCUGAGCCCGCAGGAUGGCCCUUCUGUGGCCGAUAUGGCCCAGGCCAGUCCUGGCACCUGUGAAUGUGACUGUGGCCCAGUGGGGGACACUCCAAGGCUAGCCUGGCAGGGCACAGCUGAAGCGGAGUUCUUCCUGCCUCCACUAGAGGGCAGCGUCAGUCCUGUACUGAAUCGACUCUGCAGAGUGAGGGCUGUGCGUUUUGGAGAAGGGUGCCAAGCCACCUUUGCGAGCGUCCUCCUGCUCGCUGGAGCGCCGCCUCCAGUAGUUGAGCUCCUCGCGAUCCGACUCUUGGCACCGCCGCAAGACGCUCACCGACCGCCGCGUCUUUUCCACCAUAUCCACGAUGGAGUUCAGCACCUGGACACGACAAUGUUGAGUUAGCCUUUAUUUCAGUUCUCUAGAAUUUGUCAAUCAAGGAAACUUCAUUUUUGUAUAUUGUAUACAUUUUCUACUUCAUUGGAAAGAAAAUCUGGCAGUUGACCAAG